rnacentral:rRNA from 1 species
GACGAACGCUGGCGGCGUGCUUAACACAUGCAAGUCGAACGGAAAGGCCCUGCUUUUGUGGGGUGCUCGAGUGGCGAACGGGUGAGUAACACGUGAGUAACCUGCCCUUGACUUUGGGAUAACUUCAGGAAACUGGGGCUAAUACCGGAUAGGAGCUCCUGCUGCAUGGUGGGGGUUGGAAAGUUUCGGCGGUUGGGGAUGGACUCGCGGCUUAUCAGCUUGUUGGUGGGGUAGUGGCUUACCAAGGCUUUGACGGGUAGCCGGCCUGAGAGGGUGACCGGCCACAUUGGGACUGAGAGACGGCCCAGACUCCUACGGGAGGCAGCAGUGGGGAAUAUUGCACAAUGGGCGGAAGCCUGAUGCAGCAACGCCGCGUGCGGGAUGACGGCCUUCGGGGUGUAAACCGCUUUCGCCUGUGACGAAGCGUGAGUGACGGUAAUGGGUAAAGAAGCACCGGCUAACUACGUG